rnacentral:rRNA from 1 species
UACGUAGGGUGCAAGCGUUAAUCGGAAUUACUGGGCGUAAAGCGUGCGCAGGCGGUGAUGUAAGACAGAUGUGAAAUCCCCGGGCUCAACCUGGGAACUGCAUUUGUGACUGCAUCGCUGGAGUGCGGCAGAGGGGGAUGGAAUUCCGCGUGUAGCAGUGAAAUGCGUAGAUAUGCGGAGGAACACCGAUGGCGAAGGCAAUCCCCUGGGCCUGCACUGACGCUCAUGCACGAAAGCGUGGUGAGCAAACAGG